AAGUCGUAACAAGGUCUCCGUAGGUGAACCUGCGGAGGGAUCAUUAAACGAAACAAACCCUCCCACCGGGCUCCGGUCUGGCGGGGGGGCCAGUCUCAAACCCUUUGUCGUCCGACUAUGUUGCCUCGGGGGAGACCCUGCCUUCGGGCGGGUGGCACCCCGGUGGACCAAACCAAACUCUUGCGUAACAUGUCGUCUGAGUCGAUUUAAAAAAUAAUCAAAA
rnacentral:misc_RNA from 1 species